CCAGGCUAGGGGUCAACUCAGAGCUGUUGCCGCCGGCCUACGCCAGAGCCACAGUAACACCAGAUCCCAGCCUCGUCUGUGACCUACACCGCAGCUCAUAGCAAUGCUGGAUCCUUAACCUACUGAGCGAGGCCAGGGUUGAACCUACAACCUCCUCAUGGUUCAAGGUAGGAUUUGUUUCUGCUGUGCCACAAUGAGAACUCCUGUCUUUUUUUUUUUUAAAGUGGUGUAGAAAACUAUAAAAGUGGAAAAGAAACACAUGUAAUCCCAUCUCUCACUACUAACGUUUGAUGUUUGUAAGGCUAUUGAAUAACAGUAACUAUUGUGAUCCGAAUAUGUUUAUUUUCUUUAAAGUAGUUGUUUUCUGAUAUGGGAAAGCUGCAUUUAAGAAAAUUAACUUUGGGGAGUUCCCAUUGUGGUGCAGCAGAAAAGAAUCCGAAUACAAACGAUGAGGCCAGGGAUGGAACCUGCCUCUUCAUGGAUACUAGUCGAGUUUGUUACCACUGAGCCACAGUGGAAAUUCCACCAUCAUAUUAGUUUAGGUGUACAACCUAAAGAUUUAAUAUAUGCAGCCUUUGUAAAAUGACUACCACAGUAAGUUUAGUUAAAUUCCAUCACCUCGCAUAGUUACACUUUUUUAUUCUUGUGACGAGCGCUUUUAAGAUCUACUCUCCUAGUAACUUUCAGAUAUAUGAUACAUUAUUAUUACCUAUAGCCACCAUCCUGUACAUUGCAUCCCCAGGACUUACUUGUCUUAUUUUCCCAUCUUAAUCAUGGCUCUUCUCCUUCCGAAAGUACCCAUUACCCACUACCCUGACUUUGCUUUUUCUAUGAUUUUAUCACCCAAGAGUGCAUGCCCACUUUUUAAAACUUUACAUGACUUUUUACUGUUUUUAAUCUACACGUUCUUUUCCCUUGGCUUUCUUUCCAUUAUAAUAAAUAUCCCAAAGAUCCUGGGGAAAUGGACCUAUAAAAUUUUUUUGCAGAUCACCAUAUUUAUUGUCUGCAUUUCCUGUAAAUUGGCAACUGGAUCCAGAUGCUUAAUCUGUUGUGAGUCCCUUGGCAAGAUCAUAGCCAUAGCGUGUUCAUUAGAAAUCUUUAUUUCUGAAUGUUUUGCUCUCUCUACGUGAUAGGGGAAAAUGCAGCAAACCUCACUAGGAGUGUGUUAUGUGAGUUCCACUGCAUGUGAAUUGCUGGUGACAGGUUGGGGGUGGAUUUUGUGUAUGUUUUGUGUAUGUAAAGGAGGACUUUGAUUCUGCAUUAUUCACCUGCAUGCACAAGGCAGGUGUCAUAGGCUGAAUAUUUGCGUUCCCUCAAAAUUCGUAUGUUGAACUCCCAGUGUGGUGGUAGGUAUUUGGAGGUGGUGUUGGGGACGUGAUUAGAUUUCAAUAGAGUCACCAGGAUGGAACCCUCAUGAUGAAAUUAGUGGCCUUAUGGGAAGAGGAGGAGAAAGCACUCAGAUCAAGGAACAGUCCUGUGAGCACAGUGAGAAGGUGAGGUGGGGGAGAACCUUUGUGACACUCACCCUGCCAGCACCCUCAUCUUUGAUUGCCAGCUUACAGACCAUGGGAAAAUAAAUGCCAGUUGUUUAAGCCACUCAAAAUAUUGUGUUUUGUCAUAGCAGCCCAAGGAAACUAAGACAGAGGUGGGAAGUCAGGUUGGAGAUAAGUUACACACCUAAGGACGUUCAGUUUGGUGGGGCCACGUGUUUUGCUUUGUUUUGCUUUUCCCUGUUUCUUGCAUCACCACAUUUGCAGUCUGUAAAAAUUGCUCACCCUUGCUUCCAGAGUCUCUAGGUAAUGAGAUUACCUUCCUCUCUGCCAUGUUAGAGAAAUAUGUUACUUUAAAGAAGGGUGUUAUCAUUAAACAAACAGUAAUAAAAUUCUAAAGCAUGGGUAUUCAUUUUCUGCACUUGCUUAGCCUCGGGCGGCCAAAAUCUGUUUCUUGUAAGGCCUCCUCUGCUAACAGUCCUGUUCUCCACUUACUCACUCUUAGUGAGAAUUGGCAAAAUUGGCUUUAGUUACUUCUCUGGAAACUGCACAUUUUCAGGAAGGGAAGUUGUUCAUCAACCUUUGAUACUUUUCUUCACACUAAUUAAGAUUUAUUGCAUUUGGUAGUGGUUUCUGCCAAAGAUUUGUGAACUGGCAGUAUUUAUGAGUUACAGAACUGAUAAACAUUUUGUUUCUCAUUUUUAUUUUUUGGUUCUAUCCAAAAGGAGGCCUUUAUAAAGGAUUCUCAUAAGGC
rnacentral:lncRNA from 1 species